rnacentral:rRNA from 1 species
UACGUAGGGGGCUAGCGUUGCUCGGAAUCACUGGGCGUAAAGGGUGCGUAGGCGGGUCUUUAAGUCAGGGGUGAAAUCCUGGAGCUCAACUCCAGAACUGCCUUUGAUACUGAGGAUCUUGAGUUCGGGAGAGGUGAGUGGAACUGCGAGUUUAGAGGUGAAAUUCGUAGAUAUUCGCAAGAACACCAGUGGCGAAGGCGGCUCACUGGCCCGAUACUGACGCUGAUGCACGAAAGCGUGGGGAGCAAACAGG